UCCUUCCGUAGGUGAACCUGCGGAAGGAUCAUUG
rnacentral:rRNA from 1 species